CUGCAACCCCUGUCUAACCAGUCCCAGUGAGAUGAACUGGGUACCUCAGUUGGAAAUGCAGAAAUCACCCGCCUUCUGUGUUGGUCUCACUGGGAGUUGCAGAUUGAAGCUGUUCAUAUUCAGCCAUCUUCCUGGUCAUCUUCUUAAUUCCAUGGCUGUCACUUUCUGCUUGGCCUCCCAGGCUUUACUCCAGAAGAAAGACCUCAACAGGUGGCGAAAGAAGGCAUAGAAGGAUUGAAUGCUGCCUACCCGACUGCUACAAGGACCGGGAAACAAGACCAAGAGACACUCAGCAACAUUCAGCCAUUGAAUUCACCAAAAACAAAGGACACUGGGAAGAAUUCCUGGAGAAAUGCUCAUCACUUUGACAUUGAACUUGGAAACACAUACGGAAAGACAGAAGACAGACAAAUCACUGAUGCAAACUGAAACCAGAGGAAUUAUUUCAAGCCUCUUGCUCCAACUUUUCCCCAGAAAGCUUUCUUACAUACCCAUGCUGGCUUUUAGACUUUUCAUUUUGGGUCAGGUGGGGAGUCGGGAUCUUAGUACCUGUUUGACUAUGUAAGCGUUAAGCUUUCUCUACACCUAAAUAACAAAAAGGAAAUAAAAAAGUAUAGCAUACUAUGUGCUAACUGCUCACCUACAGCCUUUUAUAGAGAUGCAUCCCCAACCCCAUCUACAAAAGCGAGAACGAUGCCAGAAACAAUACUAUGCACUGAAAUCUCUCAGUGAUCUAAAUAACUCAGGUCCAAAGACCAAGAACAUUCUUCAUGCUGCAUUAAAGUGACAUUGCUCUUGGUAUUAUUAAAACACUUAUAAGUGGCCAUGCUGAAACCCAAUUCUCUGUACCACUGAAAACUCAAUACCAUAAAUCCCAAUGGUUUUAUCUGGACUUUAAAAAAUAAACUUGAGGUGCCUAUCUACCAACUCCCGAAACAGCAUUCCAGACUAUUAAGCACUGCCCUCUGCUUUAUUUUUUAAAAAUGCAUUAUUCAAAUUCAAAUAAAA
rnacentral:lncRNA from 10 species